GGACGUGUGCCUGAGAAUUUAAGGGUUACUUUGAUAGAGUAAAAUACAGGGACUAAACCCCCUCACCUCCU
rnacentral:tRNA from 1 species